GCAUACGAGAGGUCAUGUAGCAGGCCCAAACGAGGAAACACACAACACCACGCGCAGUAGUAUAUAGUGAGGAAGGAAGGAUAUGUUCUCUACGGAUUUUCUCCGCUAUCAUGGCUAGUAACGGACACAGUGGCCCUAUGAAAGUCAGACUUACAGUUCUCUGUUCUAAGAACCUAGCUAAAAAAGAUUUCUUUAGGUUACCAGAUCCUUUUGCCAAAAUAAGUGUUGAUGGUUCAGGGCAGUGCCACUCAACAGAACCUUGUAAAAAUACUCUUGAUCCUAAGUGGAAUCAACAUUAUGACUUAUAUAUCGGCCAAAAAGAUUCUGUUACCAUAAGUAUUUGGAACCAUAAAAAGAUCCACAAGAAACAAGGUGCUGGCUUCUUAGGAUGUGUACGAAUCACUUCACAUACUAUCCAACAGUUGAAAGACACUGGCUUUCAACGGUUGGAAUUACAGAAAAGAAAUGCAGAUGACCCUGAUCAAAUGAAAGGCCAGAUUAUCAUAAGCCUUAUAUCCAGAGACAAAGGUAGUUCAGCCCCUGCUAUCACUGACACACCUUCUAUUCAGCCAGUUAUACUAAAUGACCCCAAUGAACUUCCUGAUGGCUGGGAAGAAAGGACAACUGCCGAUGGUAGAGUUGAGUUUGUCAACCAUGUUACAAGAACAAUUCACUGUGAGCGACCUACAAGGCCCGCAUCGGAAACACCAUCCAAACGUUUAUCAACCGCCGUGAUCGCAGAUCCAGCUGUGGUCAUGUCUCCCGAUAAAGAGAACACUGGCAAUGUCAGAAGUAGUAAUAGCCAAAAUACCAGUAAUACUGGUGGCAGUAAUAGCAGCAGCAGUAACUGUACAAGUGUAAACCACAGCUCGUCAACAAACAACAACAACACUCCUUCUAUAGCAACAAACAACAACAACAGAAUGAGCAGUAGUAACAACACUGGUGGUGAUGGCAAUAAUAGUUCGGGUAUUUUCUCCAGAAGGCGGUCUACGCGGCACCGAAAUUACUUGAAUAGAUCCCAGCUCCAUAAUACUCUCGAACUGCCUGGAGGAUAUGAGCAACGAACAACACAACAGGGUCAGGUUUAUUUUCUACAUACACGAACUGGAAUUAGUACAUGGCAUGAUCCCAGGGUUCCAAGAGAUCUUACAAAUGUGUCUGAAGAAGAACUCGGUCUGUUACCACAAGGCUGGGAGAUUAGAUACACAGGAGCAGGACGCAUGUAUUUUGUGAACCAUAUCAAUAGAACGACACAGUUCACUGAUCCUCGCCUCUCAGCCAAUAUUGGAUUGAUACAACAGAAAAUGCAAAUUGCUGAUAAAGAGAACAGUGCGCCUGGGCCUUUACCAAAAUAUAAGCGAGACCUUGUCCAAAAGCUGAAAGAGUUACGACGUCAACUUAAUGAUCUUCAGCCUCAGGCUGGUCAUUGUCGAUUGGAAGUAUCAAGAGAAGAAAUAUUUGAAGAAUCUUAUCGGCAAGUCAUGAAAAUGAGGUCUAAAGAUUUACGAAAACGAUUAAUGGUAAAGUUUCGAAGUGAGGAAGGCUUAGAUUAUGGGGGUGUUGCUAGAGAAUGGUUAUAUCUAUUAUCUCAUGAGAUGCUUAAUCCAUAUUAUGGAUUGUUUCAGUAUUCAAGAGAUGAUAUAUAUACUUUACAAAUAAAUCCAGAUUCUGCUGUCAACCCUGAACAUUUAUCCUACUUCCAUUUUGUUGGAAGAAUCAUUGGUAUGGCAAUAUUUCAUGGUCACUACAUCGAUGGAGGAUUCACCAUGCCGUUUUAUAAACAGCUUCUGGGCAAACCUGUCACAUUAGAUGAUUUAGAAAGUGUUGACCCAGAACUACACAGAAGCCUUGUUUGGAUCCUAGAGAAUAAUAUUGACAGUGUUCUGAACCAGCCUUUCUGUGUGCAGCAUAAUUCCUUUGGGCAAGUACAAGAAUAUGAACUGAAACCUGGAGGAAGAGACAUAGAAGUUACAGAAGAAAAUAAAAGAGAAUAUGUUAGGCUCUAUGUGAAUUGGAGGUUUAUGCAAGGAAUUGAGGCACAGUUCUUAGCUUUACAAAAGGGCUUUCACGAAUUAAUCCCACAGUCAACUUUGCAGCUAUUUGAUGAACGAGAACUAGAACUUGUGAUAGGUGGACUUGGUAAGAUAGAUGUGGAAGACUGGAAGAUGCACACCAGGUUGAAACAUUGUACUUCAGAUUCCAAUAUUGUCAAAUGGUUCUGGAGAGCUGUAGAAGGCUUUGAUGAUGAAACUAGGGCUCGAUGUCUCCAGUUUGUUACUGGAAGUUCAAGAGUUCCUCUACAGGGUUUCAAAGCUUUACAAGGAUCAACUGGUGCUGCUGGUCCGAGGCUGUUCACAAUACAUCAAGUUGACACCAGUACAGAUAAUUUACCAAAAGCACACACAUGUUUCAAUCGUAUAGAUAUUCCACCUUAUGAAGAUUAUGAAAAAUUCCUAAGUAAAUUGACCUGCGCAGUUGAAGAAACAUGUGGUUUUGCAGUGGAAUAAAACAAAACAUAAAAAAAUUUAAUUCAUUGAACAGUGUUGGGGUUUUGGCCAGCUUUUCUGCUCUUUGUGUGCCAAAGGGGAAAAUAGUUUUCGACAGAAAAGCAAUACUUUUUUUUUUUUUUCUUUUACACAAAAGGCUGUUAUUUUCUGCAAGUUAACCUCAGUAUAUUAUGUCCGUUUGGAAGGUCACUAAUUUGAGGGCUCUAAACAUUUGGGUUAAACAACACCCUUGCAAAUUGCAUCACCUUUUGUCCUUGCUAAACAAUGGCCAGUUGAGUUUUUGUUUCCUCAUCUUCAAAGAACCAUCUUUGGUCAAGAUGACUGACUGUACAUAGUUUAUCAUUGUGAAAUGUGGUUUCAUGGUUUCUUACUUACAUGUAAGUGUCUAUGAGUUAACAUUACUUCCACAUUCAGAAGUGAAAAUUACACUACAUCUGUACAUGAAAGUGAUUUUGUAUGUUCACAGGGCAUGUGUGUGUAUGGUAUAUGUGUAUGUAUGUGCAUGCACAUAUGUAGAUUUAUGAGCAAGAGUGCAUGUGUGUGUGUGUGUGUGUGUCCACUGAGUGUAUGUGCAUAUGUUGUGUAUUACAUAUGCUAAAUAGGCAUUUUCACUGUAAGCAAGCUAUUUGAUUGUAUUCUCAAUCAUGAUGACUUGACAUAAAGCAACCAUAAGAGUGGUAUUUCAAAAAUAAAAAAAGUGUGAUACCCACGAUGUUUUUUUUUUUUUUUAAUCAUUCUCUUUUCAGUCCCAAAUAUCAUAAAAAUUGCAUAAAAAAUUUCUCCUCAGCCAGUUACUUAACUUAUUGAGUCGAAACUGUAGACUUAAGAAAAAUGGAAAACAAGAAAUAUAAAAUGAAAGAAACCUGGAACUAAUGACGGACAAAGUUUUGGAUUUGGUGAAUGGCUACAAAAACUCCUCCUAAAACACUUCCUAAACCCCCCUCUUGUGCUCUCUCUCUCUCUCUCCUGCUCUUUCUCUUUCUCUGAAAUAACAAAAAAAGCAAUCAAAUUUUAAAAAACAAUUAUUCACGCAAUUACUUUGAUCAUUGCAUAUUUUAUGUUAGGUUUAAUUUUAAACUUUAUUUCUUCACCUGAAACAAAAUUUACCAAUCACCACCACCACCACCACCACCGCUUGGAAAUAUGCAGAAGUUUCUGAACCAUUUCCAAUUACUUUUCCUGUUGUAAAAAUCUAUUUAUGUAAAACAAAACAAAAAAAAAAGUACUUUAGGAUUUUCUUUAUUGUUUUAAGUUGUUUACCCACUUCUGCCAUUUCUCUUCUACGUUUACUUGUCAGUGGUUUUAUACUGACUCAUCUUUUACCUCAUCUUCUGAUUUAUUAAACCUUCAGAAAUUAUUAUUUGUUAAAGUGUAUGUGUAAAUGUUGGUUAAAUACCAAUUGUAUGAAAAAUGUAAUUUUAUGAACAUGCAAAGAAAACAAUCUGCCAAAAACAAAAAAAAGUUAUUAGGUUUGUUUUUGUUUUUUUUUAAUGUCUUUGCAUUUAUCAAAAAUUAUUUUCGUUUUUAUCAGCCUAUGAAUAAAUCAUUAAUGUGAUCUUUUGUUUUUAACGACGGCCUGAUCCUCUGUUUACUGAUAUUACUAGAUAUUUUUUUUUUAUACAUCAUAUACAUAUAUGCACAACAAUUUAAAUGGUGCCACAUAAAUGUCAUUGCUGGUAAGACUUUUAUACUCUCUCACUCUGUCACAUCCAAACUCACUCCUAACAAUGAAUCCCUGUAGCCCGUAUCAGAAAUACAGGCAUGGAGUUCUCUAUAUAAUAGAGUAAAAAAAAAAAAAAUGGAAUAAAAAAAUAAAGGAAAUAAAUGCUCACCAGUAAAAUAUACUAUUUUGAAUAAUUAAGAUGUGGUGUAAAUCAUUACAGUAAUCAAAAUAAUUGAAUCUGCUGGAAUUUCAGAUUCAGUCCACCGUUUGUCUAGCAAUGGAGUGUGCCUGCAUGUACGUAUGUAUGUAUGUGUGUGUGUAUGCAUGUGCGUGUUCAUACAUCUGAGAGAAUGUACUCCAACUGACUGACACACUGUAUCAGUUUUUAUAAAUAAAUUUGUACAAAAUGUCUUGUGAUGAUUUCUAAUAUAAAAAGAAAAAAAUAAAUAAAAGCAUUUUAAGGUUAA
rnacentral:misc_RNA from 1 species